UACGGGGGGGGCAAGCGUUGUUCGGAAUUACUGGGCGUAAAGGGCUCGCAGGCGGCCGACUAAGUCAGACGUGAAAUCCCUUGGCUUAACCAAGGAAUGGCGUCUGAUACUGGACGGCUUGAAUUCGGGAGAGGGAUGUGGAAUUCCAGGUGUAGCGGUGAAAUGCGUAGAUAUCUGGAGGAACACCGGUGGCGAAGGCGGCCCCCUGGACCGGUACUGACGCUGAGGCGCGAAAGCGUGGGUAGCAAACGGG
rnacentral:rRNA from 1 species